rnacentral:rRNA from 1 species
CACGUAGGGGGCAAGCGUUGGUCCGGAUUUAUUGGGCGUAAAGAGCUCGUAGGCGGCUCAGUAAGUCAGGUGUGAAACCUCCAGGCUCAACCUGGAGACGCCACCUGAUACUGCUGUGGCUAGAGUCCGGUAGGGGAGCGGUGGAAUUCCUGGUGUAGCGGUGAAAUGACGCAGAUAUCAGGAAGAACACCUAUGGCGAAGGCAGCUCUCUGGGACGGUACUGACGCUGAGACGCGAAAGCGUGGGGAGCGAACAGG